UAGAUAACCCGGUCCUCAUGGACUCUACCAGAGGUUUGUGAAGUACCGUCAUCUAUCUGGUUGGAAUCUACCUCCUCUAAUUCUCAGGGGGGUUGAUUCGAGAUUAUUGAGAGUCGUUGGUUUCCAUAGAUGUUCUUAGCUGAGGAAAUGCAAUGUAGUACCACUAGGGACUAAGCAUGUAGAAGUUAGCAGGGAAUUCACUAAGGACGAGAGUUCGAGUCUCUCCACCUCCACCA
rnacentral:tmRNA from 1 species